UCCUGGUUGUCAUAUCCUAGUGGGAGUU
rnacentral:piRNA from 1 species